AUGCUUGUCUUCCCAGCACAGAUACCCAAACAAUACAGAAAAGAUUAGCAUGGCUCCUGCACAAAAUAUGACACACAAAUUCGUGAAGUGUUCCAUACUUUA